rnacentral:rRNA from 1 species
AUGGUGAAAGGAAGAAUCUGCAUCGGAAAAGGAAAGCAGCUCUUUGCCCUUUUCUCCAACUGGAAAAGUUCUGUGGAGAUGUGGGCAGCUUGUUGGCCAGAGACAAAAAGAGAGUUCUAUAAGGAGUCAAUUACACCACAGGUGUCUGAACUUGGCAAGAAAAAUCAGUUUGGUGCUGAAACUUGUGACAUACAGAUAUGUGGUAACAAAACUUGGCUUCGUAGUGCAGAUACGGUGAAAUUCACGUUUGGAUACGAGAUGGGUGCCGAUGAGGCCCGCCAGCGUGGCGCCGGACCCACUGUCAGUGGCUGCACAGUGCGGGCGAGGGCGUGUGGCCCGGGUUUUCGCGAAACCCCCCCGGAAUUUGUUUACUUCUCACAAAAAAGCCCCGGCCGUCGCACAUAACGCGAGCCCCUCGAUCCCGUAAAUCCUCGCCCGCGAUGCAUCAAAAAAAAAAAAUCCUCGCCCGCGAUCCCCAAUUCAAGAACAGGGCGACGGCUUAGUUCCGCACGACGGCGACGGCGGCACUCCCCUCGGUUCAGCAUGAUGGCGGCAGCGCCGGUGUUCCCCUCGGCUGCGCGCGAAGGCGGCGGCGGCGCUCCCCUCGGCUGCGCGCGAAGGCGGCGGCGUCGCUCCCCUCGACUGUGCGCGAAGGCGGCGGUGGCGCUCCCCUCGGCUGCGCACGACGGCGGCGGCGGCGCUCCCCUCGGCUGCGCAUGACGGCGGCGGCGGCAGCUCUGGCAGAAGGGAUCCCUGACUUCUGAUGGGAGGGUCCGACAUACCUAGGAUGGUGGAUGGAGGGGCGAAGGUGGAGGAGGAGGACGAACCGUGGGCCAAAAUUACCUCCGUUGUGUACUUCAGAAAGCAUCAGGUAAAUCAUCUUCCCUUUUCUCAGAAAAAUUUGUAGGAUGUUAGGUUCAAUUGGAGUUGAACUCAGGAAGAUGAGCUGGACAAGGGUAAGAUGUGCAGGCACUUUGAGUCAGCAGCUAUGCGGGUAUGCAAAGGAGUGGACACUGGAAGGAGAUUUUUGUCAUGCCAAUAUGAGGAGACGUGUGGUUAUGUCAAAUGGAUUGACAAGCCAAGCCAUGGGAGGGGAGGUAAAGAACUGUCAUUGGUGAAGUUGCUAACAACAAAGAGGUGCUAGAGAAGAAGCUAAUGCAGAAAGAUGGUCAGAUAGAAACUAAGGAGAAGCACGGACUUGAGAAGAAGAAGAUUGAAAGGAUGCACAAAGAUCAGUUACAAUCUAGAGAUAGGACGAUUAUGUUUGUUGUGUUCAUGUACUUUGGGUUAGUCGUAAUCAUGUUUGAUGUGGUUGACAAGAAGUAAUGUUGUCAUUGUCCAGUCUAGAAGGUCAUGUAUGUUGCUGAAAAUUUGUAUUUUGCUGAAUAAUCUUUGGUGAAUUACAAAGAAUGUACCUUUUGG